CACAUUCACAAGUCGAGUCAAGUCAUUUAACCAAAAAAAUUAAAAAAUUAGUUUUUUCAAAAAUUGUGAAUUAACAAUGGCUGUACCCAAGACUUCUAUAAUAUCUGUUUUGAUCUGCUUGAGUUUGUUCAUCGUCGGCUUAAAUAUAUUCGAGGGUGAUUCCCAGUCGGAUUUAGCUGGCGUCUUGUUCUUGGCAUGGAUAGUAUUGAUGCUGGAUAAGUUCCGCAUCUAUUUGCGUGUUUUCAAUCGACGCUGGAUCUUUCCGAUCGCUGUGGCGGUCUAUUAUCUAUUCAGCCAAGUCGUAGUGUUCUUCAUGUGGGAUCCGAUAUGGUUUAGAAUCGAAAAUAUAAUGCACUGGGUCUUUUCAACGCGACUUGUAUACACCAUCUAUUACAAGUUUCCAACGAUUGUUGUCUUUAUGAGGCGGCAAUCGCUGGCUUUUUUCAAACUAGUCAUGAUGCUUUUAGUUUUCUACAAGACCCUGAAGAGUUAUCGAGUCCCCGAAGAAAGAAAAAGAUAUAGACGUGGAAUUCAUAAAGAAGCGUUAAGGGGUUUGCUGUCUAAGUCUGGAAAUCGAACUCCUCGUGUGUCAAACAGGCGAAAGAAGAAGCAGUAGAGACGUAAUGCCAAUAUUAGUUCAGGUUUGGAUUGCAGUACAAGCUCGUUCAUUAUACUUACAUUCGGCAGUUGCACACUUGCAAUUGUUAGUUGGAAAUUCAUUUAAUGCUCGUUUUUACCAUAUUAUUAUUAAGAUACUUCGGUUGAUGAAACAAACAGAUCAAAUCACAUAUUUGUGUACGAUUUAUUGUAUAUAAGUUUCGGUUUUUAUGCAAGCUCGUUUAUGGCUAAUGGUCCGUGUCGCAUGCUUUUCAUAUAAUUUGGUACUAUUUAAGUAAUUUGAAUUCCACUGUACAGACGAUUUAUUUCUUUUUAUUAUUUAUUGAUUAUACUGGAUUUCGAUUGUAACACAAGCUCGUUCCUUAUAUUGCCAUCAUUGUAACUCCAAUACAUAGGUCUCGGCUUUCGUUUCAUAUGCUGCCAUUAAAGUAUACUCAUUUGGAUGAUUGAUGAAAGAAACAUCAACAUAUGUCUUGUACUUUAUUUGAACCAUUUAUUUAGACUUUGAUUAUCUUAAUUUCAUUACAAUACAAAUUGUCCCAC